UCUCUUCACUUUUAAAAUGGCUAAUAACUGUAAUGUGGUAUAAAGCCAGUGCCCGGCACAGUGUUGGGCACAUCAAGGGCUUCAGUAAAUGUUGACCGCUCAAGUGAAUGAAAUAUAGCGGUGGUUCUACUUACUGUGCAUCUCGUAUAGGACCUAGCAUGUUCCGGACUUGCGCGUGAUUAAUGAAUAUUUGUAAUUUUGAGAGUGUCUUCAUAAUUAGGAAUGAUGCUCCAUUAAAAACAGAAACAAAAACAAAAAACAUUAACUCCACUUAAAUACGGAGAAACUCCUGUGAGAGAGCCUGUGAUUUGCUGCAGGACUCCUGGGGAGUUGUAAUAUUGGAAUUAAUAGUAACGAUCUGCUAAUUCUCCACCUUUGCCUGGGCUGCCUUCCAGGACGUGAUGUGGAAUCCUGCUGUUUCUGCUCCUGAUAAAUCAAUGACAAUCUUCAUCCCAGUGAGGGGCGAGUCCCGGGACACACUCCUGUGUCAGUGGUGCUGUUAAAAUCAGAUUUCUUGGAACCCAUUUACGAGGCUUUGAAUUUGCAGAUCGCUUGCUGAACCUAAAAUGCCGCACACAUGUGGCGACCUUGACUUGGCUGUUUCCUUGAAUCGGCUCUCCCCUUAAGCCAUGACUGACAUUUCCAAGUCGCACAGCAGGGACUGGGCUUCAGUCUCUGUCUGCCCACUAUGAUCGUUAUCCAGGUCCUGCCCAUUUUCUGGGCACCGCUCACCUCCAGGCAGUGAUCUGCUUGGACGGGGGCAGAGGGCUGUGGAGGGGAGGGGAGGAGGGCGGCAUAUGCCCUCUCAGGGCUGACGCUUCCUCUUCUCUUCUUGGUUCCUCCAUUGGGGCAACUUUUGGGCAAGAGAAUUUUUUUCCCAUCUUCUUUCUGUCCACUCAUUCCCUUGCUUAUUCCCUUGUUUAUUCACCCACUUAUUUAAAUCACAGGAACGGGUCCCUGUUGAAACGGAAGCGUUGUGGUGGCAGUGGGGGUACACAGAGAGGAGGAGCUGCACGUGUGGUGGAUGCAGGGAGGGAUUUGGCUGCUGCAUUUCCUGCAGGGUGGAGGAAACCAGUCCGCCAUGAGAGAGUGAAG
rnacentral:lncRNA from 1 species